UUCCUUGUUCAAGUUCUCCACCUACAAAUAAUUAAAAAACAAACAAUUUAGCAAAAGUUUUAUAAAAGGAUUUCAUUUAAACAUAUAUGUAUAUUAAUGUCAUGACACGUAGUAAGACACAACCAUCUGUAGAAUAAGAUUUAUCAUAUCACAAACAAAAGGAACUUGAAGAGGACAAAAGGUAUUCGCAAUUGAAAAUACAACAACGAAGUAUCUAGUGUGACAUACAAGAGAAUGAUAAUUGAAAACCAAACGUAUUCAAUCUCCAAAUGUCAAGACCUUCAUAAAGACCUAUUCAAUUUAAUAAUUAAAGUCAAGACCUUCAUAAAGACCAAACAUAGUCCAAUCUCCAAAUGUAGAAAGUAGAAACUAGAGGUUACUAUACCAGAGGUUACAACAGCUUUGCAGGCAAUAAUUUUCUAUGAGAUAAAAGAAAAUAAAAUUCUUCAUUAUGCUACAAAGGCAAAUAAUGGAGUAACCUUUGUAUUACUAUACACAGAAACAUUUUUGUGAAACUAUCUUCAUAGUAGAUUGCUGGCUGGUAAAACUAUAAUUCAUUCUCAUGACUCCCCCUGUUGCUGUAAAUUACAAGUACACCUUGGAUCAAGAUAAAACUGAAAUGACAUCGUACAUCAGAGUUUCUAUUUUAAUCAGUCACACUAACAGAGGUUCUUUUAUCAGUCACACUAACAGUGAUUAUCAUUCCCUUAAUUGGAAUUCAAAGAGAACCCAAUGUUUCAAUAUGAACUUGAACCUCCAGCAAUAUGAACUCAGCCACACAAGAUGAUAGCAUUAAAAUAUAUAAAGUUUAUACUAAACACUAUAUGCAGAAAUAUUAAUGGUUCUAUAAUGCCUCAUAUUGGCAUGAUUUCAUGUAUGGAAGAAAGGCAGAAAAAGAGCAGAUUUUAUCACAAAAAUCAACAGUUUUUAACUUUAAAAAACAACAGCUUUACUGUAGAUUUUUAAGCAAAAUAAAAAAGCAGCUUUAAAGUUGCUAAAAUAUGAAUUUUAACCUCGGAGUAAAGUGAUACUAACCUUGAUUGUUGCUACCUGUAGAUGGUCGACGGAUCAGUUGGUUAGCAGCUUGUGCGGAGGUAGCUUCUCCUAGUGACGAAUCAGUUAAUGUUGAUACUAAUUCUGCACGCUGAAAUUGAGCAAUUACAUCUCCAGUAAUUUCUUGUCGCAUUAGUUCUUUUUUGUUCCUCCAUUUUUCGAAUCUUUUCUUGCAUUGUAUCAUUUGUGGCAUUUGAAGUCGGCUCAAAAUGGCCCACUUUUCCUUUUAAAGUAGUCUUUGUAGUUCCU
rnacentral:lncRNA from 1 species